rnacentral:lncRNA from 1 species
CAGAGCUCACCCCAUCGUCACACCCUCACAGCCCACCCCAUCAUCACACCCUCACAGCUCACCCCAUCAUCACACCCUCACAGUCCACCCCAUCGUCACACCGUCACAGCUCACCCCAUCAUCACACCCUCACAGUCCACCCCAUCAUCACACUCUCAGAGCCCACCCCAUCAUCACACCCUCACAGCCAACCCCAUCGUCACACCCUCACAGCCCACCCCAUCAUCACACCCUCACAGUCCACCCCAUCAUCACCCCUCACAGCUCACCCCAUCAUCACACCCUCACAGCUCAACCCAUCAUCACACCCUCACAGUCCACCCCAUCAUCACACCCUCAGAGCUCACCCCAUCAUCACACCCUCACAGCUCACCCCAUCAUCACACCCUCACAGCCCACCCCAUGAUCACACCCUCACAGCCCACCCCAUCAUCACACCCUCACAGUCCACCCCAUCAUCACACCCUCACAGCUCACCCCAUCAUCACCCCUCACAGCUCACCCCAUCAUCACACCCUCACAGCUCACCCCAUCAUCACACCCUCACAGCUCACCCCCAUCAUCACACCCUCAAAGCUCACCCCAUCAUCACACCCUCACAGUCCACCCCAUCAUCACACUCUCACAGCUCACCCCAUCGUCACACCCUCACAGCUCACCCCAUCGUCACACCCUCAAAGUCCACCCCAUCCUCACUCCUCACAGCUCACCCC